GCCAGUUCUUUUGCAGGUACCCUCCCUGCAGGAGCGGCCGCUCCCCGUGCCCCGCACCCUGCCCGCCACCCGGGAGCCGCCCACGGAGCCCUUUCCAGACGCCGUGCUGCUCUCGGAGGACCAGGGGCACCCGGCGCCCACCGACGUGUGCCCCCAUCCCGCCACGGCUCCGCUCACCUGCAGCGCUGCCACGCUGGAAUCAGGCGCAGUGACAACGAGCGCGGACACCCCGGAGGACGUCGCGGAGGACAUCGAAGAGCUCCUGACCUGGAUCGACGAGGAAGUGACGGCCAACACAGGCAUCCUGGA